rnacentral:rRNA from 1 species
AGCGAACGCUGGCGGCAGGCCUAACACAUGCAAGUCGAACGGACCUUUCGGGGUUAGUGGCGGACGGGUGAGUGACACGUGGGUGAUCUGCCCUGCACUUCGGGAUAAGCCUGGGAAACUGGGUCUAAUACCGGAUAGGACCACUGCCUGCAUGGGUGGUGGUGGAAAGCUUUUGCGGUGUGGGAUGGGCCCGCGGCCUAUCAGCUUGUUGGUGGGGUGAUGGCCUACCAAGGCGACGACGGGUAGCCGGCCUGAGAGGGUGACCGGCCACACUGGGACUGAGAUACGGCCCAGACUCCUACGGGAGGCAGCAGUGGGGAAUAUUGCACAAUGGGCGCAAGCCUGAUGCAGCGACGCCGCGUGAGGGAUGACGGCCUUCGGGUUGUAAACCUCUUUCAGCACCGACGAAGCGCAAGUGACGGUAGGUGCAGAAGAAGGACCGGCCAACUACGUGCCAGCCGCCGCAGUAA